rnacentral:rRNA from 1 species
GUGCCAGCCGCCGCGGUAAUACGGAGGGUGCAAGCGUUAAUCGGAAUUACUGGGCGUAAAGCGCACGCAGGCGGUCUGUCAAGUCGGAUGUGAAAUCCCCGGGCUCAACCUGGGAACUGCAUUCGAAACUGGCAGGCUAGAGUCUUGUAGAGGGGGGUAGAAUUCCAGGUGUAGCGGUGAAAUGCGUAGAGAUCUGGAGGAAUACCGGUGGCGAAGGCGGCCCCCUGGACAAAGACUGACGCUCAGGUGCGAAAGCGUGGGGAGCAAACAGGAUUAGAUACCCUGGUAGUCCACGCCGUAAACGAUGUCGACUUGGAGGUUGUUCCCUUGAGGAGUGGCUUCCGGAGCUAACGCGUUAAGUCGACCGCCUGGGGAGUACGGCCGCAAGGUUAAAACUCAAAUGAAUUGACGGGGGCCCGCACAAGCGGUGGAGCAUGUGGUUUAAUUCGAUGCAACGCGAAGAACCUUACCUACUCUUGACAUCCACGGAAUUUAGCAGAGAUGCUUUAGUGCCUUCGGGAACCGUGAGACAGGUGCUGCAUGGCUGUCGUCAGCUCGUGUUGUGAAAUGUUGGGUUAAGUCCCGCAACGAGCGCAACCCUUAUCCUUUGUUGCCAGCGGUU